rnacentral:misc_RNA from 1 species
GAAAUGCGAUAAGUAAUGUGAAUUGCAGAAUUCCGUGAAUCAUCGAAUCUUUGAACGCACAUUGCGCCCUCUGGUAUUCCGGGGGGCAUGCCUGUCCGAGCGUCAUUGCGAACCCCUCAAGCACGGCUUGUGUGAUGGGCCCUCCCGCGUCUUGGUCGUCAAGACGGGCCCGAAAUGCAGUGGCGGCUUCGCGGUUAUCCGAUCAGCCAGAGCGUAUGGGGACUCUCUCUCUGUCACACGCCCGCGGCGCGGACCGACGCCUGUCGACCUUUAUUCAUCUCUUCUCGUUUGACCUCGGAUCAGGUAGGGAUACCCGCUGAACUUAAGC